UUGGUGGGAUAAAAGCUCACCAAGGCUGCGAUCAGUAGCCGAUCUGAGAGGAUGACCGGCCACACUGGAACUGAGACACGGUCCAGACUCCUACGGGAGGCAGCAGUGGGGAAUAUUGCACAAUGGGGGAAACCCUGAUGCAGCAACGCCGCGUGGAGGACGAAGGUUUUCGGAUUGUAAACUCCUGUCAUUUGGGAAGAUAAUGACGGUACCAAAUGAGGAAGCCACGGCUAACUACGUGCCAGCAGCCGCGGUAAUACGUAGGUGGCGAGCGUUGUCCGGAAUUACUGGGCGUAAAGGGCGUGUAGGCGGCCAUUCAAGUCAGAUGUGAAACCCCAGGGCUUAACCCUGGGCUUGCAUUUGAAACUGAGUGGCUCGAGUGUCGGAGAGGAAAGCGGAAUUCCUAGUGUAGCGGUGAAAUGCGUAGAUAUUAGGAGGAACACCAGUGGCGAAGGCGGCUUUCUGGACGAUAACUGACGCUGAGGCGCGAAAGCGUGGGGAGCAAACAGGAUUAGAUACCCUGGUAGUCCACGCCAUAAACGAUGGAUACUAGGUGUGGGAGGUAUCGAACCCUUCCGU
rnacentral:rRNA from 1 species